ensembl:lncRNA
AUCCAGGAGGAGGUGUAUGUACUGUCCUGCCUCGCCCCCAAGGGCUCUUGCUGUGUCCAGAACACUACUGGGAUUACCAAGGGAGCAGCUCAGCACUCACCGGCCUUGGGUUGUCAUCCCUAACUUCCUCAGUACCCUGCAUUACACAUGCAUGUGCUGCACCAUCAUUUACAGCUGCAAUGAGAAGGAACCAGAUCACAUGAGUCUUUGGGAACAGGGAAGGCAUAGGACAAACACAAAAAUUAAAACACUUGGGAAUAAGAACCCAGCAGAUGUGGUAAUCUUCGCCUCUCAUCUGGAUGCUUCAGGACUUUUACUUAUAAUUCAUUACACCAGAACAUCUUCCAAAUAUUCAAAAUCCUUUUUAUAUGAUAACAAGACUAAUAACCUAUUUAGUGGAAUGGAAAGCACAGGCACAAAGCACGUUGAAUUUGGCCAGAGUCAUACUCCACAGUUUUUGGUUAGCCAUGAUCUUAGUACAGAAAAGGAUGGUCGUUCUUGAGGAAAUGGAGCGUCCAGAACUGAAUGUGUGACUUUGCUCUUUGGGUGGAGAAUUAUUUGCAGGACUGUUAUCAUACAACUCGUGCUUCAGGAAAGGCAAACUGGCAGUUCUUUGGGAGCGGACUGCACAACUGCUUUGCAGUUGAAAUACUAAGGUCUGAUCUAAAGGCCAUCUUGCUAGCUGGGCUGGCUGGAGCUAGCUGCAGCUCUGCUGGUGGAAACCCACCAUAGCUCAUACCUGAAACCCACCAAAGCCCUCACAAUUCUCCUCGGCUGCAUGGCUGGAUGGGAUUAAGUGAAACAGGCGUUAUGGAUGGAUGGGAUUACAUUUGGGAACCGGCGAAUCCAUAAGGUGCCAUAAGGCUUAGGGCCUCCCCUGGGCAGAGGCAAUCACUUUCAUAAAUCUGAUGUUUGUACCAGUCGCUUAGAGAAAGAAAGGGUGACUAAUGUGCUUUGAAUCAGGAGAUGGGGAGACAAGGCUGAGAGAUAGUAAGGAAAAACAAAAUGAUAGGAAAAUAAAAGCAACAGUACCAACAUUCUUAAAUCAGAAGCACUACUUAUACUCUUUCUUCUCAUUAUUUUUAAAUGAAGAAUGAAUAUGACAGGACUAUUCCUAUGCAGGAGUGAUACCUGAACAACAACAAAAUAUUCAGAUCUCCCUUGAUUUCAGAACAGAAGCAGAAAUCUUCUGAGCUCUUACUCUAGCGCAUGUAUGGUUUUUCUUCUGCUCUGUUAGUGGGUGUGAUGGGUGCAGAGCCUGAGAGCUGCGCUUCUGUUAUAGCAGGGAAGAAGCAUUAUCUGUGCUGGGAUCAAGGUGGGGGAUAUGUUAAAGCCCAGUGGUCUCUGUGGUCUCAACCACUCAAGGAAGUUUUCCAUCACUGUUAUACCUCUGGCUGCCUUUGCCACAGCCAUGGGACUUAGCAGGUCAUGAAGUGUUGGGUGUUGGCCACAAAAAUUACUAAUCUGACAGACAAAAUAAUCCCAUGUGAUCACUAGGGGAAAAAACAAACAAACAAACAAAAAAAACCAGUGUCUGCAUGAAUGCAGAUAUUUUGGAACAGGUUUAAAAAACAAAAGGCUGAGUUGGGUCUUAGAGGGAGCACGGCCCAGUUGUCUGCUUAUCCCGCGUGAGUCUACCAGCAGCAAGCACAUCUCUACUGAAUAAAAGCAUAUCCUGCAGUGCAGAACAAAUGCAUUGGAGGAAGCAGUGGUCGCUUUAGUUUUGGAAGGAUCUGCUGGCUACAGAAAGAUUCGAACGCUGUUGUUUGUGCUCCGUAUCAUUUUUCACAUGAAGGAAAUCUCCAGUGCUCUUUAUGCAGACGAGAGUGUCGUAUAAAUAAAAUGUAUGGUUAUACGGAUAUUCUAUGACCUUCUUUAGUAUUGCUGCAGAAAUAAACUGCACAAUCAAUAUAAAUAAUAUUAAGAAGUAGUCAAAGAAAAUACCAUUUCAUAAAGUUACAUUAAAGACGGGGAUUUAAAUGAGGACUUGUGAGCCCAACAAGUUGGCUGCUUUUCAGCUAUAUAAAUUAGUCUAAUAAACUGUAUCUCC